rnacentral:rRNA from 1 species
GACGAACGCUGGCGGCGUGCUUAACACAUGCAAGUCGAACGGAAAGGCCCUGCUUUUGUGGGGUGCUCGAGUGGCGAACGGGUGAGUAACACGUGAGUAACCUGCCCUUGACUUUGGGAUAACUUCAGGAAACUGGGGCUAAUACCGGAUAGGAGCUCCUGCUGCAUGGUGGGGGUUGGAAAGUUUCGGCGGUUGGGGAUGGACUCGCGGCUUAUCAGCUUGUUGGUGGGGUAGUGGCUUACCAAGGCUUUGACGGGUAGCCGGCCUGAGAGGGUGACCGGCGACAUGGGGACUGAGAUACGGCCCAGACUCCUACGGGAGGCAGCAGUGGGGAAUAUUGCACAAUGGGCGGAAGCCUGAUGAAGCAACGCCGCGUGCGGGAUGACGGCCUUCGGGUUGUAAACCGCUUUCGCCUGUGACGAAGCGUGAGUGACGGUAAUGGGUAAAGAAGCACCGGCUAACUACGUG